rnacentral:miRNA from 1 species
UGACAAGGAGAGAGAGCACGC